GUCGGGAUAGCUCCAUUGGUAGAGCAGAGGACUGAAAAUCCUC
rnacentral:tRNA from 1 species